rnacentral:rRNA from 1 species
UACACAUGCAGUCGACGAGAACGCUCUAGCUUGCUAGAGUAAGUAAAGUGGCGCACGGGUGAGUAACGCGUGGGUAAUCUACCUUCGAAUUGGGGAUAACGUUGCGAAAGCGACGCUAAUACCGGAUGACAUCCAUUUAUCUUCGGAUUUUUGGAUCAAAGGUGGCCUCUACAUGUAAGCUACUGUUUGGAGAUGAGCCCGCGUACCAUUAGCUUGUUGGUGGGGUAACGGCCUACCAAGGCAACGGUGGUUAGCUGGUCUGAGAGGAUGAUCAGCCACACUGGAACUGACACACGGUCCAGACUCCUACGGGAGGCAGCAGUGAGGAAUUUUGCGCAAUGGGGGAAACCCUGACGCAGCAACGCCGCGUGAGUGAUGAAGGCUUUCGGGUCGUAAAGCUCUGUCAAGUGGGAAGAACCCAUAUAAUGUUAAUACCAUUAUAUACUGACGGUACCACUGAAGGAAGCACCGGCUAACUCCGUGCCAGCAGCCGCGGUAAUACGGGGGGUGCAAGCGUUAUUCGGAAUCAUUGGGCGUAAAGAGCACGUAGGCGGCCUGGUAAGUCAGAUGUGAAAGCCCGGGGCUUAACCCCGGAAGUGCAUUUGAUACUGCCAGGCUUGAGUAUGGGAGAGGGAAGUGGAAUUCCUGGUGUAGAGGUGAAAUUCGUAGAUAUCAGGAGGAACACCGGUGGCGAAGGCGACUUCCUGGACCAAUACUGACGCUGAGGUGCGAAGGCGUGGGUAGCAAACAGGAUUAGAUACCCUGGUAGUCCACGCAGUAUACACAUGCA